rnacentral:lncRNA from 1 species
CCGCCCACCACAGUCCCCACCAAGCCCUAUUGCCUGGUCUCUGCUCAUUUGAGUACCUGCCUGGUAUCCGUAGGCAACUGGAGUCAUCCGCCCCUUGCUUAAUGCAAGGGAAAGAAGACCAAAGGUGACAUUUUAGGCAGGGCUCAGGGGAGGAAGGGUUUGGGCUCCCCAAAGCAGCCUCGGAGGGCACUGGAAUUUGCAACCCCUGCUGAGAAGGAACAAUGCUCCGAUCUUUCCAGGCACUGCUGACCCCAGGGCCUUUCUCUAGCAGGGCCCUGCCUGUGAGAGUAUGAAGAGCCUGGGGCUUCUUCCAGAUCUGUCUGCUGCAAUGGGCAGCUGUUGCUGCCGGUCUGGGGGGGAGGUGUGCAGGAAGCUCCCACAGGACCACAUCACAAUCAGAGGAACGCAGACACUCCUACCACACUCACAGGCGCAUACACACCCCCAAAUACACAGCAGACACACACAACACACUCAACUCACGCAGUAACCCUCCGCACACGUGUGCGGGCCCCUGACACAAACACCAGACCUGUGCCGCACAUCGACCCGCACGGAUACAACCGCUCGAAACCCCAGACACACCACACACACUCACAUGCACACUGCACACAGCCACGGGCGCCGACACACUCAGAAGCACACACGGCCCCAGAGCAGACACACAGCGCAGAUGCGCAGAUGGACAGACAUGGGUACGACAGACGCACAGCCUCACACAGACACGCCUGCGCGGGCACACGAACCACAGACACACAUUCCACGUGGACCUGCCACUCGAAGCUGCCCCAGCCGGCCUGCGCCGUGACGCCCGCCUUGGACGAUGACCAGCCUGUCCAUCUGAGAUCGCCUCACAUCCCUCCCUGCCCCCCACUCCCCCGCAGUGACUAUUCAGGCUGCGCUUGUGAUUUAUCAAUUAAAAAAAAAAUCAUUUCCUACCUAACAGCAGCAUCCACCUGCCCAUCAGCCCCCUCGCUCCACGUGUGACGAGCAGCCCCAGUGGGGUACACCGAGCGCGGGGGGCCUGAACCACCACCCAGGAAUAAAGCCAGGCUCUGCCCGCCCCGCCCCUUCCUU